rnacentral:rRNA from 1 species
UGGGGAAUAUUGGACAAUGGGCGAAAGCCUGAUCCAGCCAUGCCGCGUGUGUGAAGAAGGUCUUCGGAUUGUAAAGCACUUUAAGUUGGGAGGAAGGGCAGUAAGCGAAUACCUUGCUGAUUUGACGUUACCGACAGAAUAAGCACCGGCUAACUCUGUGCCAGCAGCCGCGGUAAUACAGAGGGUGCAAGCGUUAAUCGGAAUUACUGGGCGUAAAGCGCGCGUAGGUGGUUCGUUAAGUUGAAUGUGAAAGCCCCGGGCUCAACCUGGGAACUGCAUCCAAAACUGGCGAGCUAGAGUAGGGCAGAGGGUGGUGGAAUUUCCUGUGUAGCGGUGAAAUGCGUAGAUAUAGGAAGGAACACCAGUGGCGAAGGCGACCACCUGGGCUCAUACUGACACUGAGGUGCGAAAGCGUGGGGAGCAAACAGG